GACGAACGCUGGCGGCGUGCUUAACACAUGCAAGUCGAACGGAAAGGCCCCUUUGGGGGUACUCGAGUGGCGAACGGGUGAGUAACACGUGAGUAACCUGCCCUUGACUUCGGGAUAACUUCAGGAAACUGGGGCUAAUACCGGAUAGGAAUCCUUGCUGCAUGGUUGGGGUUGGAAAGCUUCGGCGGUUUUGGAUGGAUUCGCGGCUUAUCAGCUUGUUGGUGGGGUAGUGGCUUACCAAGGCUUUGACGGGUAGCCGGCCUGGGAGGGCGACCGGCCACAUUGGGACUGAGGAACGGCCCAGACUCCUACGGGGGGCAGCAGUGGGGAAUAUUGCACAAUGGGCGGAAGCCUGAUGCAGCAACGCCGCGUGCGGGAUGACGGCCUUCGGGUUGGAAACCGCUUUCAGCAGGGGCGAAGCUUGUGGUGACGGUACCUGCAGAAGAAGCACCGGCUAACUACGUG
rnacentral:rRNA from 1 species